UACGAAGGGGACUAGCGUUGUUCGGAAUCACUGGGCGUAAAGCGCACGUAGGCGGAUUUGUAAGUCAGGGGUGAAAUCCCGGGGCUCAACCUCGGAACUGCCUUUGAUACUGCGAGUCUUGAGUCCGAUAGAGGUGGGUGGAAUUCCUAGUGUAGAGGUGAAAUUCGUAGAUAUUAGGAAGAACACCGGUGGCGAAGGCGGCCCACUGGAUCGGUACUGACGCUGAGGUGCGAAAGCGUGGGGAGCAAACAGG
rnacentral:rRNA from 1 species